rnacentral:rRNA from 1 species
GACGAACGCUGGCGGCGUGCCUAAUACAUGCAAGUCGAACGAACCGCGACUGAGUGCUUGCACUUGGUCAAGGUGAGUGGCGAACGGGUGAGUAACACGUGGGUAACCUACCUCAUAGUGGGGGAUAACAGUCGGAAACGACUGCUAAUACCGCAUAGGACAUAGGAUCACAUGAUCCAGUGAGGAAAGGUGGCGCAAGCUAUCGCUAAGAGAUGGACCCGCGGUGCAUUAGCUAGUUGGUAGGGUAAAGGCCUACCAAGGCGAUGAUGCAUAGCCGACCUGAGAGGGUGAUCGGCCACAUUGGGACUGAGACACGGCCCCAACUCCUACGGGAGGCAGCAGUAGGGAAUCUUCCGCAAUGGACGCAAGUCUGACGGAGCAACGCCGCGUGAGUGAAGAAGGUCUUCGGAUCGUAAAGCUCUGUUGUUAGAGAAGAACAGCGCAUAGAGUAACUGCUAUGCGUGUGACGGUAUCUAACCAGAAAGCCACGGCUAACUACGUG